rnacentral:rRNA from 1 species
AAUUAUAGUUACCAUAGCUGUAGAUGGAUGCUUCGAUAUAUAGUAUAUUACAGUAUCAAUCGGAUUUACAUGCUCAGCCGCCAAAAA